rnacentral:rRNA from 1 species
UACGGGGGGAGCAAGCGUUGUUCGGAUUUACUGGGCGUAAAGGGCGCGUAGGCGGCCGCCGCAAGUCAGUUGUGAAAUCUCUGGGCUUAACCCAGAACGGUCAGCUGAUACUGCGGGGCUAGAGUGCAGAAGGGGCAACUGGAAUUCUCGGUGUAGCGGUGAAAUGCGUAGAUAUCGAGAGGAACACCUGCGGCGAAGGCGGGUUGCUGGGCUGACACUGACGCUGACAGCGCGAAAGCUAGGGGAGCGAACGGG